rnacentral:rRNA from 1 species
AUGAGGCAAAGUUUUCAAUAUUUAUUUAACUUCAAAGCGGAAGUUGAGAAGAGAUCCCCAGGAAGCAUUGUAGAGGUGGAUAUGAAGAUGGUUAACGGUAUAGUUCUCUUUAACCGAUUCUUUAUGGCUCUUAAACCUUGCAUUGAUGGCUUUAAAGCUGGUUGUAGACCAUAUCUUAGUAUAGACUCAACUGCACUCGCCGGUAAAUGGAGAGGUUACUUAGCCGCUUGUACAACAUUAGAUGGGCAUAAUUGGAUGUAUCAUGUAGCAUUUGCAUUCAUUGAUGGUGAAACCGAUGAAAAUUGGACAUGGUUCAUGUCACAACUCAACAAGGCAUUAGGUCCUGUUUCCCCUCUAGCUAUAUGCACAGAUGCAUGUAAAGGUUUAGAGAAUGCAGUCCAAAAAAUAUUCCCUCAUGCAGAUCAAAGGGAGUGUUUUAGGCAUCUCAUGGCUAACUUCUCUAAAAAGUUCCAAGGAGAUGUGUUUGGCAGAAUGUGGCCAGCUGCUAGGGCAUAUAGGCCACAAGUUUUUAACUACCACAUGAAUAAAAUCCUAACAGAAGCACCUGAUGUGCAUGAAUAUCUCUCAAGGUACCACAGCUUAAAAUGGAUGAGAUGCAUGUUUGACCCCUCCAUUAAAUGUGAUUACAUCCACAAUAACCUUGCCGAGUCUUUUAAUGGUUGGAUUAAAGAUUACAAAGAUUUGCCACCUGAUGAGCUAGCUGACACUCUUAGAGAGCUAGUCAUGAAACUUCAUGAGAAAAGGAGAAAGAUUGGAAUGAAACUGAAAGGAAAAAUUAUUCCAGCCAUCAUCCAACAGAUUCAUAAUAGGACAAGGGGACUUAAACAUUUGAAGGUUGGGAAAUCUGGAGUCGCAAGUUGUGAGGUGAGGGACACAAGUAAAUACAUCUUGCGACAUGUUGGCUGA